AGAGAAUUGACCGAGUGGUUUAAGGUGAUAAGCUUGAGUCUUAUUUGAUUUAUUCAAUCACAUCCGUUCGAAUCCCCCCCCCCCG
rnacentral:tRNA from 1 species